AGGUCCGGCUUUGAUAUUGACAGGGUGUGGUUUGCUAUUCUGCUUGGUUUUAAUUCCUCUCAUAGUUUCUCACUAUUGUCCAUGUCAGCCAAGGAACAGAGAAAUGGACGAACUGUAUUCUUUUGCCGGUCGCCAUUACAGCAGUGAAGAUCAGCUGAUUCGAAUCACAGAAUAGAUUGACCCAGAGUAGUUCCUAGAGGGAGAAAACAGCAUUUUUGCAUUAUUAUAUAGCUAUAUUUAGUUUUUUAAUAAAAUAAUCAUAUGGAGCUCUGUAAA